GGCCGCGUAGCGUAAUGGAUAACGCGUCUGACUUUGGAUCAGAAGAUUGCAGCUUCGAGUCUUGCCGCGGUCG
rfam:Trichuris trichiura, WGS project CBXK01000000 data, contig: TTRE_1197